UGGAAGGGGCGGGGGAGGCGCAAAGGGCGCGCUCCGGAGUCACGUGACCGGGACGCGCCGUUCUUCCGUCGGCCAUUUUAGGUGGUCCGCGGCGGCGCCAUUAAAGCGAGGAGGAGGCGAGAGUGGCCGCCGCUGCUACUUAUUCUUUUUUUUCAGUGCAGCCGGGGAGAGUGAGAGUGCGCGCCGCGCGAGAGUGGGAGGCAGGGGGGCAGGCCGGGGAGAGGCGCAGGAGCCUUCGCAGCCACGCGCGCGCCUUGUCUUGUGUGCCUCGCGAGGUAGAGCGGGCGCGCGGCGGCGGCGGCGGCGGCGGCAGCGGCAGCGGCGGGGAUUACUUUGCUGCUAGUUUCGGUUCGCGGCGGCGGCGGGUGUCGUCUCGGCGGCGGCGGAGGCAGUAGCACUAUGUCGGAGGAGCAGUUCGGAGGGGACGGGGCGGCGGCGGCGGCGACCACGGCGGCGGUAGGCGGCUCGGCGGGCGAGCAGGAGGGAGCCAUAGUGGCGGCGGCGGCGCAGGGGGCAGCGGCGGCGGCGGGAAGCGGGAGCGGCGGCGGCUCUGCGGCCGGAGGCACCGAAGGAGGCAGCGCCGAGGCCGAGGGAGCCAAGAUCGACGCCAGUAAGAACGAGGAGGAUGAAGGCCAUUCAAACUCCUCCCCACGACACACUGAAGCAGCGACGGCACAGCGGGAAGAAUGGAAAAUGUUCAUAGGAGGCCUUAGCUGGGACACCACAAAGAAAGAUCUGAAGGACUACUUUUCCAAAUUUGGUGAAGUUGUAGACUGCACUCUGAAGUUAGAUCCUAUCACAGGGCGAUCAAGGGGUUUUGGCUUUGUGCUAUUUAAAGAGUCGGAGAGUGUAGAUAAGGUCAUGGAUCAGAAAGAACAUAAAUUGAAUGGGAAAGUCAUCGAUCCUAAAAGGGCCAAAGCCAUGAAAACAAAAGAGCCAGUCAAAAAAAUUUUUGUUGGUGGCCUUUCUCCAGACACACCGGAAGAAAAAAUAAGAGAGUACUUUGGUGGUUUUGGUGAGGUUGAAUCCAUAGAGCUCCCUAUGGACAACAAGACCAAUAAGAGGCGUGGGUUCUGUUUUAUUACCUUUAAGGAAGAGGAACCAGUGAAGAAGAUAAUGGAAAAGAAAUACCACAAUGUUGGUCUUAGUAAAUGUGAAAUAAAGGUAGCCAUGUCAAAGGAACAGUAUCAGCAGCAGCAGCAAUGGGGAUCUAGAGGAGGGUUUGCAGGAAGAGCUCGCGGAAGAGGUGGUGGCCCCAGUCAAAACUGGAACCAGGGAUAUAGUAACUAUUGGAAUCAAGGCUAUGGCAACUAUGGAUAUAACAGCCAAGGUUACGGUGGUUAUGGAGGAUAUGACUACACUGGUUACAACAACUACUAUGGAUAUGGUGAUUAUAGCAAUCAGCAGAGUGGUUAUGGGAAAGUAUCCAGGCGAGGUGGACAUCAAAAUAGCUACAAACCAUACUAAAUUAUUCCAUUUGCAACUUAUCCCCAACAGCGGGAACUUCAUUGCAGGCCCUGUGUCGCGCUGACUUCACGAUUCUCACAGGCCCGCUCAAUGCGGACAGGGUACGAGAUGCUCACGCUCUCGAAUGCUGCCGUUUGGUGGUGAAGCAGUAUUUUCCAAUUUGAAGAUUCAUUUGAAGGUGGCUCCUGCCACCUGCUAAUAGCAGUUCAAACUAAAUUUUUUCUAUCAAGUUCCCGAAUGGAAGUAUGACGUUGGGUCCCUCUGAAGUUUAAUUCUGAGUUCUCAUUAAAAGAAUUUGCUUUCAUUGUUUUAUUUCUUAAUUGCUAUGCUUCAGUAUCAAUUUGUGUUUUAUGCCCUCCCCCUCCCCCCAGUAUUGUAGAGCAAGUCUUGUGUUAAAAGCCCAGUGUGACAGUGUCAUGAUGUAGUAGUGUCUUACUGGUUUUUUAAUAAAUCCUUUUGUAUAAAAAUGUAUUGGCUCUUUUAUCAUCAGAAUAGGAAAAAGUGAAAUACUACAAAUGUUUGUCUUGGAUUUAAGUCACUAGAAGCGCAUAAGUUUGAGGGGGAAAAACAGGAAACUUUGUCUUGAAAGAGGGUUAAAAAUGUAGUGAAUUUUAAAUGUUUUUAGCAGAAUCUGAUAUGCCCAAAUCCCUGUCUGAAUUGGAAAUGACUUAAUGUAGCCAAUUUGCUUGUUGGUUGUUUUAAUACUACUUUUGUAGCCAUUAAGUUAUAUGAGUAACUUCCCAAAUAACCCCUUUUUUCUUUAUAUGUAUUAUGCUUUUUAAAACAGAUCUGGAAAAAUGUGCAAGAACAUUUGCACAGACAAAUGUUUUUAAGUUUCCAUUAAAUAAAAAAAAAGUGGACUUAAGGAAAUCUGUUAAAUAGAACUGCAGCUAGUUUAGAGAGUAUUUUUUUCUUAAAGCUUUGGUGUAAUUAGAUAAUUUCAAGUGUUGAGGGAAGAUUUUUUUAGAAUUCAGUGUUUGUAUAUGUGCUCUUGUUUGAUUUUUGUUUUCUUUUUAAGUCAGUUUUUUUGGGGGUACUUUUGUUAAUUGAGCCUAGGAUUUAAAGGUAAGAUGUUCCUAGAAGUUUUGUCAUCGUAAGGGGAUGUGUUAAGGUGUAACGUCAGGAAUAAGUCAGGACCACUGCUUUAUGUGUGAAAUUAUUCAAAUUGGUAAGUCUCUUAUGCUUCUAGCAUUCAGGGCAUUGAUUUCAACUAGGAUGGACAAUUUAUAGUUACUACUGAAAUGUAUGUUAAUGUGUUCAGUUCUGGUAAGUUUUAAGUUUGAUCAGUUAAUUGGAACCAGACUUGAGAAUAGCUGUUAGAAAGUCACAUGAGAAAUGGCUGCAGCAAUUCUAUGGUCAGAUUCCUGAGUUUGUGGUAGUGAAUUGUGUCUUAAGAAUUUGACCUCCCCACAAGAUACUUUAAUGAUAAAAGUCAGUGCUGUAAAGUUGAAAGUUUAUGAGAGAUACCUACAAUGAGGGCUGCUGCCCAUUUUAACAAGCAUUGCAAUACAAAAGUAUGCCCAUUUGUUUACAUACUCCUGCCUUUGUAUUACAGUGGCAGGUUUGUAUACUUAAACUGGGAAAGCCUCAGAUAUAUAAUUACCUGGUCUAUCAUAGAAAGUUGUUAUUCUGUGUCUAAAUAAAUCACUUGGUCAGUUGAAUACAUUAGCUAGUAUUAGCUAGCAUACUUUAUUAUGCUUGUUUUGCAUAAAUAUCACACCAAAAACUUGCUUGAGUUAACAUUGACAAUUUGAGCCUAGUUCAUGAGUUACUAUCAGAUUGGUCUUGAUUCUGUAAUAGGUCAAGUGUCUAUAAACAGCUAUGAUGGUGGAGAGUAGAAAGUCACUGCACUCAGAUUCAACAUCCUGAUUGGAAGUCAUCACAGUGUGACUGUAAACAUUUCACAAAGAAUAGUAGAUAAAUAAGUUGGUUUUUAUGUUAACUUUGUUUCCAUUAAGUCACAUUUAAAAACCUAUCUUCACACCUAUUUAAGUUAAAUAACUGUUGACCUAGACAUUUUUCUGGCCACUGAUUUAUUUCUUGAACUUUUGCCAUUUGUAUAAAUCUUGUCAGCUUUUCUUGAUUAUGUAUCUUCCAGUCUGAGCUAGUUCCCUUUUCAGGAAUUCCCUUCAUCUCAAUUAGGUCCUUUGUCUCCUAAAUCAUUCGGCCUGUUUGGACAGGCCUAACAUUGAGACCUUGGUGUCUUCAACACCAUAGUUGUAUCCCUAGGUAGGUUGGACAGAGAGGGAGUUUGUUAAUUUGAAUCUAGGUCUUACAUGAAGUCUUUUAAGGAUUUUUACCUUGUCACUAAACUUGUCUAGUCUAAGCACCCAGUGGCCUCUCUGUGUGAACUUAAUCUUCAGUUCUAGGAAAUGUGAAUGAAUUAUGAACUAGUUCCUGCGAUGGGUUUUCACAUUCUUUUGUUAUUUUUUUUUGAUUGUUUUAGUUCUUUGUUAUUGGUCACUAGCCCUAGGCAAAAACUUCCCUACUUCUAGUUUUUACAAUUUAAAGACAAAAUUCAUCUUAGAAUUUCUCUUUCCCAACUAAGUGUCUUUCCCACUAAGUAUCUUAAGUGUACUCUUCAUCUUUUUCUCCUCUGAGGCUUUUACUGAUGGCAUAAUCCUGUACUCUCAACCCAAGGCUGACCUGGGCAUCGGCAAAGACCCAUCUUAGAACUCAUGGAAAGCGAUCUUACUUUACAUCCUGUUGCUUCUACUUAAGUUUUCAGUGGAUGUGAAGUGAUCCUUUGCUUCCAAUGAGUACUUUAAAAUGAACCUCUAGAUAGAUAUUUUUUAUUCUCUGGUGAGGGUUACUGGAGUUUCCCACCCUGCCUGAAGGGUAAGUCAGGCUUGCAGUGUUCUCAUCUCAAAGGGAAAAGAAGGCAGAUGGAUGUGUCCAGAGAGCACCAUCACAGUUGCUUCAGAGACACUAGAAUGGGCAAGUCUGGUGGCUGCUGGGAAGAUCUGGUGGUCUUAGACUUGAAACCUAUCCUUUCUUCAUUACCCAUAUGUACCACUUACUCCAGUAAGGACUUUGUAGGGGUUUUGAGACCCCUCCUUGCUGACAAACACAGUUUUCUUAACAUUUGCUCAUAAACGUUGAAAGCUUAUUUCCUCUUAAAUCCUCCCACCCCACAUUUAACGCCCUGGUACUUAGUAGAAUUUCAGAAGAGUAGUGUUUGUGUGUGUGUGUGUGUGUGUGUGUGUGUGUGUGUGUGUGUGUGUGUGUGUAGAGAGGUUGAUGAAAAGUUUGAGGAAAAUCAGGUAAAAUGUUGACAGCUCAUUAUCCUUUUAGAAUUGUACUUCAGUAUAGAAACGUUUGGUGGACUGUAGGGUAGCUUUGAUUUUACUUCUGGGUAGACCUGCUAGUGAUGCCAAUCCUCAAGCAAUGAGCUUUCUGUAUCUUUGUUUACUAAGUAUCCACUACCAGGUGAGUCAUUUCUCUUCCUGGGGUUCUGUUUUCUCCUUUUAAGAUCUUACUUAAACUUAAUAUGUGUGUAAGUUUGGCCUUUCGGUCUCUUCUUUGUGCACUGGGAUGACAAUUGCUUCAUUACAUGCUGUUCCCAAGUCAGAAUUCAGUGUGUUGAUUUGACAUCUGUUUGUCCUGAAUAAGUUCCAGUUACCAGGAUUUACAUCCUACACAUUAGAAACUAUUCGUGUGCUUUAAUUCUUGGAGCUUUUUCCUUUAGUUUAUACUACCUUCUAUUUUGAGUAUUGUGUUUAGGAUGUUGAGGUAUUAGGAUUCUUGACAACCAGAAAAACUGUACCCACUAUCUAGCACAGUAUUUGUGUUGAUCUAGAAAUGUGUGCUUUUUUGAUUUGGGGUUGUUUUAACCUACAUUGUCAAACUAUAGAUCCAUACAUAACAGUGAUAAUGAGGUUUUUGUUGUUGUAUUUUGUUUUUUUAAACCCAAGACAGGGUUUCUCUGUGUAGGCUGUCCUGGAACUUGUUCUGUAGACCAGGCUGGCCUUGAACUCACAGAGAUCCUGUUUCUGCCUCCCCAGUGCUGGGAUUAAAUUUGCAUGUUUUUUGUUUGCUUUUGUUUUUUGUUUUUAACCAAAAUUUGGCAAGGCUGAAAAUGGAAUCAUAUAUUCACUGCUGGCCACAUUAAAGUUGUUAACAGUUGAGAAGUCUUGUCUGAAUUUCCUUGGGUAAAAAGAUUCUAGCCAGUUAAAUACCCUGUUGUGCAAAUUCAGUUUGUUGUUAUAAUUUGCUCUCAGUUACCUGUAAUCUAGUAAGUUGGAAGGAGGUUAAUUAUAAAAAGAGGCCUGUAGACCAUCUACAACUGCAUCAGUUGUACAGCAUUGUUGCCUGGGAUUCUUUAUUUCACAUAAACUCCCAAGUGUUAGCUAUGGUAAUGGCUCUAGUGUGGAAGGAAAAUAUUCAAAAGAUUGUUAGCAUUCUAGUGAGUAUACAUGAUGACAGCAGUGAGUGGGGGAAGAACAGCAAGUGGCCAUGGUUAGGGGCUUACUGACCUUGUGGCUUUUAAGUUCUAUAGGCAGUACACACUUCUGUAUGCACCUUGAUCCUUAAUAGUUACUUGAUUUACUGCAUUGUGGAUUAGCUGGCUGACUCUAAUUGUCUUGUUACUAUCUUGCUAUUGAAGUCUUGAGUUGGGCUCAUUAUGCAUUUACCCUGUUGACUUGAGCACCUUAGAGUCUCAAGGAUGUCUGGUUGUGGCUUUAUUGUAAACAGCCUUAGGUAUAGAGGGGACUAUGUCAUUUAGGAAGGUGAAAGAUGAUACUUCCAAAGACCUUUGAAAAUAGCAUAAGGAGGGAAGCCCUGGGUUUAUCCCCCAAUUUAAGAAAGAAUGCUUAACAAUGUUUCAGAACUAGAUUCUGUAGAAGGUGAGGGUGUUAGAACAGUCCAAAUUUGUUAUUGUAAACUUACAGUAGGAGGAAUUUUAAAAUAUACAGAUCGUCACUUCAUUAACUUCACUGAUACAGGUGGAAAAUGAUGUUGGCAACACUUCAGAGUUAAUUUGUAUAUGUUUGUAAUUUGAUUGGUUGUAUUCUGUUGCACUCUAGAAUUUGAAGGCAAGGUUACCUUGGCUUUUUAAUUUUUUUUUUUUUAAAACAAACUUCAAGAGAUCUGUUAAUACUAGUACCUGAAUGUGGCAUUUAACAUGUCAUGGAAACUGCUUUGAAUAAAUACUUGAGAAAAGGAAUUAAAUAAUUGCUGUUUUUGUUGUAUGAAUGGGUGUGCUUAUGCUGAGCUUAAUUACAUUUUUAUAAAACAGGUAUGAGACUGAAGUGGAAUCCUUAUUAAAUGUGGAAAAUGGCCUUUGAGUAUUACAGUAGAGAUUUAGCUAAAAGAGUAAAUAAAACUUUGAAACAAAUUUGUUGUAAAUUGCUUCUACAAUCAUUGAUCUAUAAAGCAUGCUAUUGCCAAGUUUUAUGUAUUAAGACCUAUUAGCAUGUCCUUUUUAGUACUUGGUUGACUUCAUUUUAAAUUAUAAGAUGUCUCUGUACCGUUUAACAUUUCCAGGACUUAUUCUUUCCAGGCAAAUUCCAUUGGGACUGUUUCCAUUGUAGAAGCUUCCUUAUAGAUUCUUCAAAUGAAGCUUACAGUGCGCUUUCAUGGGGUUUUAAUUUGCAUUAAAUUUUAUUUUCUGAAAGAUCAUUUAUGUUUAUAAUGUAGUGCUUUGUCUUACAAUUAAACUCUUCAGCAC